GUGGAGGUUGUUGCUGAGAGCCACACCACGUAUAAAAUGAAUGAUUUAGGCUGUUGGCUGCAUCGACUGGCCGGAUAAUAUUCGAUGGCUUCCAUACGUACGGUGCAGCAGUAGUAUACAGUAUACACCGGCUCACAGGAAAGAAAGAAGAGACGAAGUCAAAGUCAGCAUUUUGGAUUUGAAGUGGCUUUUUUCCCUCGUUUGAAUCAAGUAGAAGUAAGUUUCUCCAAAUGAAGUAGGCUGGCUAGUAAACGUCGUUAAUAACGGCAAGCAACUGAGGUGAGAGGACAUCAUCAGCUCAACUUUGUUUACUGCUAUUCGCCUUCAAUUUCCGUUGGCCACCCUUCUUUUCUUAGGUAACUUGUUUCAUCUCUUUCCUUUUAACAUAAUAUGCUCCUGACUUGGUUAACAAACAGCUGCAAUCGAUCCCUUAGGUUUGUCCGAAAUCAUAAAAUCUAUUCUCUUCGUAUCAAAAGUAAUCGCGUCGUCCAUCUCGUUAGCGGAUUUAACGAAAGUGUCCUCUCGGCGUUAGGCCCACUCCAUCCGAGUAGGAAGCUUAAACCGAACCGAAAAUUACGCCGACUUAAAACUCAAUUUAACUCGGUUGGUUAGGUACUCACAUAACCGGCUGAAAUAACUGGUUGAAUUUUUGGGUUAGUGGUGAGACGUGAAGGAUCUCUACAACGGAUUUUUGUGUAUCGGUUUUUUCCAACCGAUAGUAUAGACGGCACACACACAUUCGGUUUGGAGUAGUCCGAUAAAAAGAGAAACAUUUCGAUAAAAAUAUUUUGCAAGAGUAUUUAGUCCGAUAUGAUAUGAUAUAUCAAUUAUAUUAAUUUUUCAACUUAGAACUUUCAUUCCUGAUCACAUUCGAAAAAAUAAUAAUUGGACAACCCUAAUAAGCAAUAACCGAGUAUUGAAUUAAUAACCGGUUAUUGAGUCCACCCAUUACCAAUUACUCUCUGGUUAGCCAUUCUAGAAUCAAGACAUACAGACUAACAUUAAUAUUUUCGUUUUAGGCAAAUUUCCCACUGAGAAAUAUGAAUCAUGUGUUGUUCAUGCGCAACUCGUAAGUUGUUAGUGCUCUCCGUCCAACCGGCCACUAAAAUGCCGCAUUUCCUCCCACUUUUGCCUACAUUGUCAAGGAUUUUGACGUAACAAGUUCAGUUAUAGGCUUGGUGGGUCACCCCCUGGUUUUAUACACAUAGCAGAGCAUGAAAGCCAAUCAUUUCUGCAAUCAAUGCAGGGCACUUUUAACUAGGACGGUUGACCAGCCAAGCCGUUCACGAGCAAGGGUGAAGACAGCCCGUUGUCAGGAGAGGCUUUCUAUUAAACUAAGGUCUCUUGUAGCGAGCAGCUUGGCAUUCGGCUAAAAAUGCUUUUUUAACGACUUGUCUCGAGUUUAAAUGAGCUAAAUUUGAAUUAGGGUAUAUUUGAUUUGAUAGGCUUGCGAGCUGGCUCGAGCUCAAAAGUCAAUUUGAAUAUUAACUCGAGUAUAAGG
rnacentral:lncRNA from 1 species